rnacentral:rRNA from 1 species
AUGGAUUUGAACUUGAUGCCUCAAGAGGAAGAACAUGAAACCAUUGAUUUGAACUUGAUGCCUCAAGAGGAAGACGAUGAAGAUAUGAAUUGGAUGUCUCAAGAAGAUGAAGGGAAAGAGGAUGAAGCUCAAGAGGAAGAGGAUGAAGUUAUGAAUUGGAUACUUCAAUGGAAGAGAAGAGAAUUGUCAGAUAAGGAGAGGCAUGGUGUUUACUUUGCCUUGCUGGUAAUCGAGCUCAAAGAUGGGUCUGUUCAACCAGACGACAAGCUGCUAGUCUCAAACCUGUUGGACAUAAGUGUACGAUCUGUUGAAAGAAUCUAG